rnacentral:rRNA from 1 species
GCGAUGAAGGACGUGCUAAUCUGCGAUAAGCGUCGGUAAGGUGAUAUGAACCGUUAUAACCGGCGAUUUCCGAAUGGGGAAACCCAGUGUGAUUCGUCACACUAUCAUUAACUGAAUCCAUAGGUUAAUGAGGCGAACCGGGGGAACUGAAACAUCUAAGUACCCCGAGGAAAAGAAAUCAACCGAGAUUCCCCCAGUAGCGGCGAGCGAACGGGGAGCAGCCCAGAGCCUGAAUCAGUGUGUGUGUUAGUGGAAGCGUCUGGAAAGGCGCGCGAUACAGGGUGACAGC